UACGAAGGGGGCUAGCGUUGUUCGGAUUUACUGGGCGUAAAGCGCACGUAGGCGGAUCGUUAAGUCGGGGGUGAAAUCCUGGAGCUCAACUCCAGAACUGCCUUUGAUACUGAGGAUCUUGAGUUCGGGAGAGGUGAGUGGAACUGCGAGUGUAGAGGUGAAAUUCGUAGAUAUUCGCAAGAACACCAGUGGCGAAGGCGGCUCACUGGCCCGAUACUGACGCUGAGGCACGAAAGCGUGGGGAGCAAACAGGG
rnacentral:rRNA from 1 species